rnacentral:rRNA from 1 species
GACGAACGCUGGCGGCGUGCUUAACACAUGCAAGUCGAACGGAAAGGCCCCUUUGGGGGUACUCGAGUGGCGAACGGGUGAGUAACACGUUAGUAACCUGCCCUUGACUUCGGGAUAACUUCAGGAAACUGGGGCUAAUACCGGAUAGGAAUCCUUGCUGCAUGGUGGGGGUUGGAAAGCUUCGGCGGUUUUGGAUGGACUCGCGGCUUAUCAGCUUGUUGGUGGGGUAGUGGCUUACCAAGGCUUUGACGGGUAGCCGGCCUGAGAGGGCGACCGGCCACAUUGGGACUGAGAUACGGCCCAGACUCCUACGGGAGGCAGCAGUGGGGAAUAUUGCACAAUGGGCGGAAGCCUGAUGCAGCAACGCCGCGUGCGGGAUGACGGCCUUCGGGUUGGAAACCGCUUUCAGCAGGGGCGAAGCUUGUGGUGACGGUACCUGCAGAAGAAGCACCGGCUAACUACGUG